UAACCUGGUUGAUCCUGCCAGUAGUGUAUGCUUCUCCUAAAGACUAAGCCAUGCAUGCCUUCGAAUAAGAGGAAGCAAUUCUCUCUGAAUCUGCGAACGGCUCCGCAAACCAGUUGUAAACUAUAGCAAGCAAGCCUGUGGUUGGGCUUCGGCUCGACCGUGGGUAACAUGGAUAACCCUGGUAAUUCUGAGGCUAAUACAAGAACGUACAACCUGGCUAACCGGCAACGGAAGGCUGGGGAACGUGCAACGUAUCGUAAUGGAUACCGGGAAAGGGUGCACGUUUGGACCGCGCUAAAGACAGUCUUCGGUAAGCCCUUGCGGGCAAGCCUUGGCCUGAGCGGCUCUUGCGGUGUGCUUCUGACCUAUCAACUAGACGGCAGCGUAAGGGACAUGCUAUGGUUACAACGGGUACAGAGGAUAAGGGUUCGAUCCUGGAGAGUGGGCCUGAGAGAUUGCUCA
rnacentral:rRNA from 1 species